GUCACACAGCCACACCAGUCUGGGUGCACCUGCUCUCACUUGGUCUCUGAAACAAAGCUGAGCUGGGCCUGGUCACUACCUGGAUGGCAGACCACCUGAAAGCACAAAGUGCUGUAGCCU
rnacentral:rRNA from 1 species